AUUCAACCAAGUUGGUGCUUGUAUCAUUAGUUUUUUCUUCACAUUGCUGAGUAGUGUCUUAGGAUAGGUAUAUGUUUAACUUCAUAAAGAAAUGCCUAACAGUUUUCCAAGGUAGUAUAUGAUUUUUACACGCCAACCAGCAACAUAUAAGAUUUCCAAUUGCUUCAUUGCCUCACCAAUAUAGGUGUCAUCAAGCCUCUUCAUUUUAACCCCAUGAGAAGUCAAACAAACACAGUACAUUUUUUUUUUGUAUCUGCUAACACUUUGCAAACUUCUAUUAUGGAGAAUUUCAUACAUUUACUUAAGCAUUAGAUGCAUUCAUCAUCUAGCUUUACGAAUUAUCAACUUAUGGCCAAUCUGGUUUCAUUUCUAUACCCUUUAUCCCCUCCUCCCAUAUUAUUUAGAAGCAAAUCCCUGAUAUCAUAUCGUUCAUCUGGAAGUAUCUCAGUAUGUAUCUCUGAAAGAUAAGGACAAUUUGUAAACCUAACUAAAAUGCCAUUGCAUUUGAUAUAAAAAACAAUAAUGCUUUAAUACCACUAAAUAUUCAGUCAACAUGCAAAUUUCUAAUUGUCUCAACAAAUUCAUAAAUUUUUUGUGUAGCUUGUCUGCUAAAAUCAGUAUUCAAAUUAGUAUA
rnacentral:lncRNA from 1 species